rnacentral:lncRNA from 1 species
UUCACAACAACACACCAUUUCUUUCUCUCCCUCUCCUCUUGGCUUCGGCCGUGAACAACAACACAACCACCACCAUCUUUCACUCAUCUUCAACUAAUUCCAAGCACAUCCAAUGGUGUUAGAGGUUGCAUAAGGAAACUAGGAGCUUUCGGAAGUUCAAGGACCUUCUCUAUUUGCUUUUAUCCAUCUCUUUUCUUCUCUUGAUCAUCCCUAGCCUUGAGCUAGUGGUAAGAACACUAAUCUUUCCAUUUUACAUCAUAUCUAAGUGGUUAAAAGAUGAUACAUGAUGAUUAACUUGAAGAACACUAAGAAUCAAGAGAAUGAAACUUGAACAUAAGCUUAAAUUAUGAAGAAACUAUGUUAUUUAUGUGUGAUUUACUUGUUGAUUGUUGGUUACUUAAGAAAAUGAUGUAGAUCAUCAUAUGAUCUUGUUAGAUCAUGAUUAAAAACAUAAUAUAGCAAGAUUAGGGGAUGAACAUGUUAGAGUUUAAUGAAUCAUCCUCACAUAAAGCAUGAACUUGAAAGAAUAUAAUGUUUUCUUGUGAAAUGAUGAUUAAAAUCAAAUGUAAGUCUUGUAGAUCUAAAACUUCAAGGGUGAUUUUCCAAGAAACCAAGUUAAAAAUACAAGUUUUACUUAAUCUUGGAUUUUAAAUAAAUAAACCUUAUUUUUAGAGGAUAAACAAGUGUAGAAACAUAUGUGUAACAAGAAAAAUUCACACAGAAACAUUUUUAGAAAAUGUGACUACAAGUUGUAAAGAUCUAUUUUCUUUAAAAAUUGUGUUUUUAAAGAAUCAACCACACUUUAAAGGGUAACAAGGCUUACUAAAUACACUAGUAAGUUACUACAAAUUUUUAUAAAUUUUCAAGUUCAUGAAGUGGUAGUUUAUGCUUGCUUUCGGCAAAAUUGAAAAUGAUAUGCCUUCAAGGCAUGGAAACCUCCAUUUUUAG